UUAAAGUGAAUUUUUAUUCUUAGGUAGUAGUAGUUAUGAUCUUGAAACUUAAAAAAUUUGGCGGUAUUUUAGUCUAUCCAGAGGAACCUGUUCUGUAAUCGAUAAUCCACGUUGGACCUUACUUAAUAAUGUAUUCAGUUUAUAUACCGUCGUUAUAAGAAUAUUUUAUAAGAAUAAUAAUUUUCUUUAAUUUUUAUUAAAAUUUAUAUCAGAUCAAGGUGUAGCUAAUGAUUAAGUAGAAAUGGGUUACAAUAAAUUUAUUUAAACGGAUUUAACUAUGAAAAAGUUUUUGAAGGUGGAUUUGGUAGUAAAAUUAUUUAUAAUAAUAAUUUGAUUUUAGCUCUAAAAUAUGC
rnacentral:rRNA from 1 species